rnacentral:rRNA from 1 species
UGACCUUGCCUGAUUUUCCGAGAGGUGGUGCAUGGCCGUCGUCAGUUCGUACCGUUAAGGCGUUUCUCUUAAGUGAGAUAACGAACGAGACCCUCACCAUUAGUUGCUAGUCUCUUCUCCGGAGGGGGGCGCACACUAAUGGGACCGCUGGUGCUAAAUCAGAGGAAGGAGAGGUCAACGGUAGGUCCGUAUGCCCCGAAUCCCCUGGGCUACACGCGCGCUACAAAGGGCAGGACAAUGGGCUCCAACACCGAAAGGUGAAGGCAAUCCCGAAACCUGUCCGUAGUUCGGAUUGAGGGCUGUAACUCGCCCUCAUGAAGCUGGAUUCCGUAGUAAUCGCUUGUCAACAUCAAGCGGUGAAUAUGCCCCUGCUCCUU